rnacentral:lncRNA from 1 species
GGGGGCGGGGCCCGGAGCAAAAGACCACGCUAAUGGGGCGCGGACUGGGUCGGGCCGACGGACGGCGGCGGCUCUGGUGGAGGCGGAAGGAGGUCUCGGCCGCGGAGGGGUAAGCUGGAGGCUCUUCUCCUGAGAGUGUGGGUGCCGCGGUGGGAGCAGGUGGCCGGGUACCCUAGCAAAUCCAGGAAGCAGCUCUGCCCAGCAGCUGGCUCCAGGUGGGCCAAGUGAAAUUCUGGAACUACUGCCCGUGCUGCCGAGAAGACCUGGAUUUUGUUCCCAAGCACAUCAGUGUCAACAUCAAUGGGGGAUAAAAGAUCGAGUCUGCCGAAGGAGUGAUCAUCAUCGAUGACAUCAACAUUGCCAAGAUCGGCCUGCACAGCCUCUGCUUCAAGAUCACCAUCGUCCCCCAGCCCAACAGGACUGAUGACCUGGUUGAAGACGUGCUGGCCGAUGUGGGCGUCCAGAGCCACCAGGGGGUCAUCCAGCAGGUACAGAGCUGCCUUUCUGUACAUAGUCUGGGCGAGGUUCAGCUGCUGCUUCUGGCCCCCGAGAGAUUCAUGCCCUGUGGCCACAAAAGGAAGUGUCCUGAGUCUGCAUCUACAGGGUGAAACUGGAGCAGGUUGGGCACAUCUCCCCAUGCCUGUCUGCUGGGGACAUGCUCAGCUUCAAAGGCACUCACUCCCAAGCCGGCAUCCCCUCCAUCUUUACCAACCUCACUUCUCGCCUUCCCAGCACACUUGCUGGAGGAGUUACCUGCACUUCCCAAGCAACUCUGUCUCCUACUUACUCUCUGUAUCCAUCAGUCCAACUUCUGUUCCCUUUCUCCACUGAGACCACCUUUAAUGAGGACACCAUUCAUUUCCCUAUUCUAUGAUCCGGUGGUAACUUUUCAGUCCUUUAAUUUUAAAUUUUAAUUGACUUACCUUAGUUUUUAUUGAUAUGUAAUAGUUGCACCUAUUUGAGGGGCACAGGUGAUAUUUUGAGACCUGUAGAGCAGUGGUCCCCAACCUUUUUGUCAUCAGGGAUCGGUUUUGUAGAAGACAACUUUUCCAUGGGCCUUUGGGCAGGGGGGUGGUUUCAGGAUGAUUCAAGCAUGUGACAUUUAUUGACCACACUACUUCUAUUAUUAUUAUUAUUUAUUGAGAUGGAGUUUUGCUCUUGUCACCCAGGCUGGAGUGGAAUGGCAUGAUCUUGGCUCACUGCAACCUCUGCCUGCUGGGUUCAAGCAAUUCUCCUGCCUCAGCCUCCCAAGUAGCUGGGAUUACAGGUGCCUGCCACCACACCUGCCUGAUUUUUUGUAUUUUGGGUAGAGAUGGGCUUUCACCAUGUUGGCCAGGCAGGUCUCGAACUCCUGACCUCAGGUUAUCUGCCUGCCUCACCCUCCCAAAGUGCUGGGAUGAUAGGCAUGAGCCAUUGUGCCUGGCUGCUUCUGUUAUUAUUAUAUUGUAAAAUGUAAUGAAAUACUUACACAACUCACCAUAAUGUAGAAUCAGUGAGAGCCUGAGCUAGUUUUGCUGAAACUUGAUGGUCCCUCUGGGGGCAAUGGGAGACUGUGAUGGAUCAUCAGGCAUUAGAUUUUCUUAAGAAGCAUGCAGCUGCAGGGCGUGGUGGCUCAUGCCUGUAAUCCCAGCACUUUGGGAGGCUGAAGCAGGUGGAUCACGAGGUCAGGAGUUUGAGACCAGCCUGGCCAACAUGGCGAAACCACAUCUCUACUAAAAAAAAAAAUACAAAAAUUAGCCGUGCAUUGUGUUAUGUGUCUGUAAUCCCAGCUACUCAGGAGGCUGAGUCAGGAGAAUCACAUGAACCCAAAAAACGGAGGUUACAGUAAGCCAAAAAUGGACCACUGUACUCCAGCCGGGCUACGGAGUGAGACUGCAUCUGAAAAAAAGAAAAGGAGCAGCAGCAGCAUGUGGCCUAGAUUUCUUGCAUGUGCUGUUUACAGUAGGAUUUGCGCUCCUAUGAGAAUCUAACAUUGCCACUGAUCUAGAGGUGGAGCUUAAGUGGUGAUGCGAACAAUAAGGAGUGCCUGUAAACACAGAGGAAGCCUCACACGCCUGCCUGCUGCUCACCUGCUGUGCUGCCCGUCCAGUUCCUAACAAGCCUCAGACUGCUACUGAUUCGUGGCCGGGGGUGUGGAGACCCCUGAUGUAGACAGUAUGUAAUGAUCAGAUCAGGGUAACUGAGAUAGUCAUCACCUCAAAUAUUUAUCUUUUGUAUUGGGAACAUGACAAUCCUUCUCUUCUAGCUAUCUUGAAAUUUACAAAUAAAUUCUCAUUCAUUAUGAUUUCCCUUGUGUACUACUGAUUACUACCACUUAUUCCUUCUGUCUAGGCCUUCUUGUGUUCAUGCAUUCUUUUUUAAAGGUAUUUUUGUUUUUGAGACAGAGUCUUGCUUGUUCAUCCAUGCUGGAGUGCAGUGGCACGAUCUCGACUGACUCCAAACUUCACCUCUUGGGUUCAAUUGAUUCUCCUGCCUCAGUCUCUUGUGUAGCCGGGAUUACAGGUGUGCCACCAUGCCUGGUGAAUUUUUGUAUUUUUAGUAGAGAUGGAGUUUCACCAUGUUGGCCAG